rnacentral:lncRNA from 1 species
GUAAAUAUAGAAAUUUCAAGGACUAAACUGUUAAGUUGCAAAAAGAAAAAAAAAUAAAGAAAACCGAAAAUUUCGGUUUUAUCCCACCGCCUCCCACGCUCUCUCUAUUUCUUCGAGAAACAUAGAGAAGCGGUGGGGCGUGGGGAGAAGAAAAGAAGAAGAAGAAGAAGAAGAAGAGAGGGAAGAUGGAGAGGAGAGAGAGAGAGAGGUAGCAGCUGCAGCUAGGGCUGCAGCACCUCUGUUUCCCGCAGGUGGAAACAGAGGAGAGGAUGUGUGGGGCGUUGGGGGAGGAGAANN